rnacentral:rRNA from 1 species
UACAGAGGUCUCAAGCGUUGUUCGGAUUUACUGGGCGCAAAGGGCGCGUAGGCGGUCAGCACAAGUCAGUUGUGAAAUCUCCGGGCUUAACUCGGAAAGGUCAACUGAUACUGUGCGACUAGAGUGCGGAAGGGGCAACUGGAAUUCUUGGUGUAGCGGUGAAAUGCGUAGAUAUCAAGAGGAACACCUGCGGCGAAGGCGGGUUGCUGGGCCGACACUGACGCUGAGGCGCGAAAGCCAGGGGAGCGAACGGG